CCUACGGGUGGCAGCAGUGGGGAAUAUUGGACAAUGGGCGAAAGCCUGAUCCAGCCAUGCCGCGUGUGUGAAGAAGGCCUUCGGGUUGUAAAGCACUUUCAGUGGGGAAGAAAGCCUUGGGGCUAAUACCCUCGAGGAAGGACAUCACCCACAGAAGAAGCACCGGCUAACUCCGUGCCAGCAGCCGCGGUAAUACGGAGGGUGCGAGCGUUAAUCGGAAUUACUGGGCGUAAAGCGCGCGUAGGCGGUCUGAUAAGCCGGUUGUGAAAGCCCCGGGCUCAACCUGGGAACGGCAUCCGGAACUGUCAGGCUAGAGUACAGGAGAGGAAGGUAGAAUUCCCGGUGUAGCGGUGAAAUGCGUAGAGAUCGGGAGGAAUACCAGUGGCGAAGGCGGCCUUCUGGACUGACACUGACGCUGAGGUGCGAAAGCGUGGGUAGCAAACAGGAUUAGAUACCCCUGUAGUC
rnacentral:rRNA from 1 species